rnacentral:rRNA from 1 species
UACAGAGGGGGCGAGCGUUGUUCGGAAUUACUGGGCGUAAAGGGCGCGUAGGCGGCCUCUUAAGUCGAACGUGAAAUCCCCGGGCUCAACCCGGGAACUGCGUCCGAUACUGGGGGGGCUUGAAUCCGGGAGAGGGAUGUGGAAUUCCAGGUGUAGCGGUGAAAUGCGUAGAUAUCUGGAGGAACACCGGUGGCGAAGGCG